UACGUAGGUGGCAAGCGUUUGUUCGGAAUUACUGGGCGUAAAGCGCGUGUAGGCGGCUCUUCAAGUCAGACGUGAAAGCCCCCGGGCUUAACUCGGGAACUGCGUUUGAUACUGUCGAGCUAGAGUGUGGAAGGGGCGAUUGGAAUUCCGUGUGUAGAGGUGAAAUUCGUAGAUAUCGGGAGGAACACCAGUGGCGAAGGCGGCGACCUGGGCCAAUACUGACGCUGAGGUGCGAAAGCGUGGGGAGCAAACAGG
rnacentral:rRNA from 1 species